rnacentral:misc_RNA from 1 species
GUGAAUCAUCAAAUUUUUGAACGCAUAUUGCACUCUCUGGUAUUCCGGAGAGUAUGCCUAUUUGAGGGUCAUUUGAAAUCAUAUAAAUUCCAAGAUUUCUCGGAAUUUAAAAUGGGUUGGCCAUUUUUUGUGGUCUCCUAAAAUUCAAGACAAGCUCAUUUUCUUGGGUUGCGUGAUACGUUCAGUUACCUCGUGACUUAAACAGGUAUCAUCGGGAGUUUGAUUAA